UACGGAGGGUGCGAGCGUUAAUCGGAAUUACUGGGCGUAAAGGGUGCGUAGGUGGUUUUAUAAGUUAUCUGUGAAAUUCCUGGGCUUAACCUGGGCAUGUCAGAUAAGACUGUAGGACUGGAGUAUAGGAGAGGGCAGUGGAAUUUCCGGUGUAGCGGUGAAAUGCGUAGAUAUCGGAAGGAACACCAGUGGCGAAGGCGGCUGCCUGGCCUGAUACUGACACUGAGGCACGAAAGCGUGGGGAGCAAACAGGAUUAGAUACCCUGGUAGUCCACGCUGUAAACGAUGUCAACUAGCUGUUGGUCAUAUGAAAAUGAUUAGUGGCGUAGCUAACGCGAUAAGUUGACCGCCUGGGGAGUACGGUCGCAAGAUUAAA
rnacentral:rRNA from 1 species